rnacentral:rRNA from 1 species
GCAGCCGCGGUAAUUCCAGCUCCAAUAGCGUAUAUUAAAGUUGUUGCAGUUAAAAAGCUCGUAGUUGAAUUUCGGGAUCAAUAUGUUGGUCGUGCCAUUGGUACGUACUGGCAUUAUUGGUUUCUACCUUCUGAAGAACCUCGAUGUCAUUAAUUUGGUGUCUUGGGGAAUCAGGACUGUUACUUUGAAAAAAUUAGAGUGUUUAAAGCAGGCUCGCGCUUGAAUACAUUAGCAUGGAAUAAUGAAAUAGGACGUUUGAUUCUAUUUUGUUGGUUUCUAGGAUCGACGUAAUGAUUAAUAGGGAUAGUUGGGGGCAUUAGUAUUCAAUUGUCAGAGGUGAAAUUCUUGGAUUUAUUGAAGACUAACUACUGCGAAAGCAUUUGCCAAGGAUGUUUUCAUUAAUCAAGAACGAAAGUUAGGGGAUCGAAGACGAUCAGAUACCGUCGUAGUCUUAACCAUAAACUAUGCCGACUAGGGAUCGGAUGAUGUUAAUUUUUUAAUGACUCAUUCGGCGCCUUACGGG